GCCGAAAAUUGGGAGGUGUGGUCAAGGAAGGUCAAGGUUGAUGAAUGACACGUUUCUUGACCAGCCAAUGAAAAGCGUUAUGAAGACAUAUAUUGCAGGUGAAAUAUGGGUAGGGGUAAAACGCGGAAACGGAACGCAACGGACCGGCGGAACCGGAAUGACGGAACCGGAAAAGCGGAAACGGAAAAGAGGGUAAAACGCGGAAAAGAGGGUAAAACGCGGAAAAGAGGGUAAAACGCGGAAAAGAGGGUAAAACGCGGAAAAGAAGA